rnacentral:lncRNA from 1 species
CCUGACAUGGAUUAUAACUGUACUUGAUGGAGCACAGUUAUAAUAGCUGCUUUAGAGUCCUUGAUAAUUCCCACAUCUGAAUCAUCUCGAGUUAUUUUUGGCAGAUUUUGAUGGAUGUACAUUGAUGGAUAGCCACAUGGAUCCAGAAAAUAAAGACUUCUACUCUGCAUAUUGACUAAAGCAGAAGAUAUGCAGGGAAGCUCAGUCUCUCAAUUGAGUGGAUUCUGAAAUUUAUCCUGUUGUCUUCAGCUACUAAGGCUAAUUUGCAAAUCACACUGUGUACGGAAUGUGUGUGUCCCACCCCUGCAGUACUUCAGCAUUCUGAGGUAACAAGACAGUUGGCUUACUGCAUCUUAGAAAGGCUUAUUGAUUUUGUUAUUGCUACAGCUAUCAUGGGAGCAGAGGCAGCAAUUUCUCAAGCCUAGUUCCAAAAGGAUUAAACCUGACCAAGAUUUAUAAACAACCUGUUCAGUGGCUGCUGAUUAACUCCCAAAGAUUGAUGUACUGAAGAAGAAUGACCUCCCCCUUGACACCAAUGCUACUAGUCAAUAACAACCACUGUGACUCAGAACAAAUUCUCUG